UUGACCUCGGAUCAGGUAGGGAUACCCGCUGAACUUAAGCAUAUCAAUAAGCGGAGGAAAAGAAACCAACCGGGAUUGCCUCAGUAACGGCGAGUGAAGCGGCAAGAGCUCAAAUUUGAAAGCUGGCUCCUUCGGGGUCCGCAUUGUAAUUUGCAGAGGAUGCUUCGGGCGCAGCCCCCGUCUAAGUGCCCUGGAAUGGGCCGUCGGAGAGGGUGAGAAUCCCGUCUGGGAUGGGGUGCCUGUGUCCGUGUGAAGCUCCUUCGACGAGUCGAGUUGUUUGGGAAUGCAGCUCUAAAUGGGUGGUAAAUUUCAUCUAAAGCUAAAUAUUGGCCGGAGACCGAUAGCGCACAAGUAGAGUGAUCGAAAGAUGAAAAGCACUUUGAAAAGAGAGUUAAACAGCACGUGAAAUUGUUGAAAGGGAAGCGCUUGCGACCAGACUCGCUCGCGGGGUUCAGCCGGCAUUCGUGCCGGUGUACUUCCCCGUGGGCGGGCCAGCGUCGGUUUGGGCGGCCGGUCAAAGGCCUCCGGAAUGUAGCGCCCUUCGGGGCGCCUUAUAGCCGGGGGUGCAAUGCGGCCAGCCUGGACCGA
rnacentral:rRNA from 1 species